rnacentral:rRNA from 1 species
AGUGAACGCUGGCGGUAGGCCUAACACAUGCAAGUCGAACGGCAGCACAGUAAGAGCUUGCUCUUACGGGUGGCGAGUGGCGGACGGGUGAGGAAUACAUCGGAAUCUACUUUUUCGUGGGGGAUAACGUAGGGAAACUUACGCUAAUACCGCAUACGACCUACGGGUGAAAGCAGGGGAUCUUCGGACCUUGCGCGAUUGAAUGAGCCGAUGUCGGAUUAGCUAGUUGGCGGGGUAAAGGCCCACCAAGGCGACGAUCCGUAGCUGGUCUGAGAGGAUGAUCAGCCACACUGGAGCUGAGACACGGUCCAGACUCCUACGGGAGGCAGCAGUGGGGAAUAUUGGACAAUGGGCGCAAGCCUGAUCCAGCCAUACCGCGUGGGUGAAGAAGGCCUUCGGGUUGUAAAGCCGUUUUGUUGGGAAAGAAAAGCAGCAGGUUAAUACCCCGCUGUUCUGACGGUACCCAAAGAAUAAGCACCGGCUAACUUCGUG